rnacentral:ncRNA from 2 species
UUAGAUCAUGGCAUCUCGGGUGCCGCCUCGUGACGACGAGGCGGAGAAUUGGGAAGCCGGUCAGAGUCCGGCGCUGCCCCCGCAACGGUGGUGGAGUUCAAGUCGCAACGGGAGACCACUGGGCCCAUAAGCCUGGGAAGGUGUCGCGAUGAGUCCGCAAGGACAACUCCAGAGCCCGGAAACCAGCCCGAGGUGUUGAACUCGA